AGUGAACGCUGGCGGCGUGCCUAAUACAUGCAAGUAGAAGGAAGUGGCGCAAGGGUGAGUAAUCUAUAGCUAAUCUGCCCCUUGCUGGAGGACAACAGGUAGAAAUUACUGCUAAUACUUCAUAGCGAGGGCUGAGACUAUAACGUAUCAGCUAGUCGGUUGGGUAACGGCCUACCGAGGCUAUGACGCGUAACUGGUCUGAGAGGAUGAUCAGUCACAUUGGAACGGAGACACGGUACACACUCCUACGGGAGGAAGCAGUAGGGAAUAAUGCGCAAUGGGGGAAACCCUGACGCAGCAACGCCGCGUGGAGGAUGACACUUUUCGGAGAGUAAAGUCCUGUUAUUAGGGAAUCGGUACCUAACGAAUAAGCACCGGCUAACUCCGUGCCAGCAGCCGCGGUAAUAC
rnacentral:rRNA from 1 species